rnacentral:sRNA from 1 species
GCUUUAAAGAAGAAAUGGUAAUCAUGGUUACGAAUUACACAGCCUCAUAGUAGUUUACAUUUUCUAGUUUUACAUUUUUUGCCUAAGUUCAAAAGCAAUGCAUGUUCAUUGAAGUCAAUUUGGAAGAAAUUGGAAAGCACUAAAGUUGGCAGCCUCGAUGGUUCCUUCUCUGUGGGGGAAUAUUGUCCUAUUAUGAUUCUCCUGAAGAUGCCUGGAAAGGUUGCAAAGGAAGCAUACAAAUGGCAGUCUGUGAAAUUCAAGUUCAUUCUGUAGAUAAUACACGCAUGGACCUGAUAAUCCCCGGGGAACAGUAUUUCUACCUGAAGGCCAGAAGUGUGGCUGAAAGACAGCGGUGGCUGGUGGCCCUGGGAUCAGCCAAGGCUUGCCUGACUGACAGUAGGACCCAGAAGGAGAAAGAGUUUGCUGAAAACACUGAAAACUUGAAAACCAAAAUGUCAGAACUAAGACUCUACUGUGACCUCCUUGUUCAGCAAGUAGAUAAAACAAAAGAAGUGACCACAACUGGUGUGUCCAAUUCAGAGGUAAGGGAGUCUUCCACUCUG